CCCAAUCACCUUCUAAAUCUGGCCUGCGGACGGUCUGGGAAUCAGCGUGUUUUUACAUGAGUAGAAUGUAUCCUUUUAUUUAAAAUGCAUCUCUGGGUUAUUUGUGGAGCCUGCCUGGUGUUUUUACAUGAGUAGAAUGUGUGCUUUUAUUUAAAAUGCAUCUCUGGGUUAUUUGUGGGGCAUAGGAAUUCGUUCAUUUCCCCCCCAAAAAUAUACUCCGGCCCCCCACAAGGUCUGAGGGACAGUGGACCGGCCCCCUGCUGAAAAAGUUUGC